rnacentral:rRNA from 1 species
CAGUAGCCGCGGUAAUACGUAGGGUGCGAGCGUUAAUCGGAAUUACUGGGCGUAAAGCGUGCGCAGGCGGUGAUGUAAGACAGUUGUGAAAUCCCCGGGCUCAACCUGAGAACUGCAUCUGUGACUGCAUCACUGGAGUGCGGCAGAGGGGGAUGGAAUUCCGCGUGUAGCAGUGAAAUGCGUAGAUAUGCGGAGGAACACCGAUGGCGAAGGCAAUCCCCUGGGCCUGCACUGACGCUCAUGCACGAAAGCGUGGGGAGCAAACAGGAUUAGAUACCCCGGUAGUCCCUGUCUCUUAUAC